rnacentral:rRNA from 1 species
GCUGCAUGGCUGUCGUCAGCUCGUGUCGUGAGAUGUUGGGUUAAGUCCCGCAACGAGCGCAACCCUCGACCUUAGUUGCCAGCAUUCAGUUGGGCACUCUAGCGAGACUGCCGGUAAUAACCGGAGGAAGGUGGGAUGACGUCAAAUCAUCAUGCCCCUUAUGACCUGGGCUACACACGUGCUACAAUGGUUGGUACAACGAGUUGCGAGUCGGUGACGGCGAGCUAAUCUCUUAAAGCCAAUCUCAGUUCGGAUUGUAGGCUGCAACUCGCCUACAUGAAGUCGGAAUCGCUAGUAAUCGCGGAUCAGCACGCCGCGGUGAAUACGUUCCCGGGCCUU